CUGACUGCUAUCGGAUUGAUACUAAGCCAUGCGAGUCUUUGCAGUAAUGCAAGGCAUACGGCUCAGUAACACGUAGUCAACUUACCCUAUGGACGAGGAUAAUCUCGGGAAACUGAGCAUAAUACUCGAUAGAUCAUAAUGCCUGGAAUGGUUUAUGGUUGAAAUGAUUCGUCGCCAUAGGAUGGGACUGCGGCCUAUCAGCUUGUUGGUGAGGUAAUGGCCCACCAAGGCGAUUACAGGUACGGGCUCUGAGAGGAGAAGCCCGGAGAUGGGUACUGAGACAAGGACCCAGGCCCUAUGGGGCGCAGCAGGCGAGAAAACUUUGCAAUGUGCGAAAGCACGACAAGGUAAAUCCGAGUGAUUUCUGCUAAAGAAAUCUUUUGCAAGUCAUAAAACCACUAGUGAAUAAGGGGUGGGCAAGUUCUGGUGUCAGCCGCCGCGGUAAAACCAGCACCUCAAGUGGUCAGGAGGAUUAUUGGGCCUAAAGCAUCCGUAGCCGGCUCUGUAAGUUUUCGGUUAAAUCCAUGUGCUCAACGCAUGGGCUGCCGAAAAUACUGCAUAGCUAGGGAGUGGGAGAGGUAGACGGUACUCGGUAGGAAGGGGUAAAAUCCUUUGAUCUAUCGAUGACCACCUGUGGCGAAGGCGGUCUACCAGAACACGUUCGACGGUGAGGGAUGAAAGCUGGGGGAGCAAACCGGAUUAGAUACCCGGGUAGUCCCAGCUGUAAACGAUGCAGACUCGAUGAUGCAUUGGCAUAUAGCCAGUGCAGUGUCGCAGGGAAGCCGUUAAGUCUGCCGCCUGGGAAGUACGUACGCAAGUAUGAAACUUAAAGGAAUUGGCGGGGGAGCACCACAAGGGGUGAAGCCUGCGGUUCAAUUGGAGUCAACGCCGGGA
rnacentral:rRNA from 1 species